UUUAUUGAUCAAAUGGUUGUUAACAACAAUAGAUUUCUGUAUAGGGGAGUCAAUGCUCAAUGCACGAUCAUUAAUCCACCCCAAGCCUAAUUCUCGUCAGUCUCCAAUCUUCUGAAGCAUAAUGAACAAGUUCUUACAUGGUGAACAAAUUCUUACAUAGUGAAUAAGUUCUUACAUGGUGAACAGUACAAGGGCAGUCAUCACAGAAACUUUCGGUUUUGAUCACGCAUUAUGAACUAUAAACAAUCAGGUCAAAUAUGAAUAUUCGUUUGAUUUUUAUACUUUGAUUUAUAUGUGGAUCUCACAUUUCUCCCUUUAUUAUUAUUAUUUUUUUAAUAAAAUGCUGAAGUGGUAGGUAGAUGUAAGAUAAAGGUAGAAAACUUAGUUUAGUGUUGUAAGAGAGCAAAUGUAGAUGAUCAGGUGUGUGCCUGUAGACUAUGUGUUAAUCCAAGCUAGACAAGGGCAAUAAAACAUCCACGGAUGCAGAAUAUUUCUCUCAAAACAGGGGGGGUGAGGUUCUAAACCUCACCUCUGUUGAUCCCCAAUUUCUCACCUGAUGGCCCCCCUGCGACUGUGCCUGUCUUAGGUUGUUCCUCCCUUGAGGAAUCUUACCCAUCUCUGCCUAACCAGUCAUCUUCCGGGGCCAUACAGGGAAAUGUAAAGUUGGUAAGAGAGAGAAGCCAUAUUGUUUGAAAAGGUUAGCUUUUUACUUCUUUGCAGAUUUAUGCCCUGUGGCUUCUAUGCCCAGCAUUUGUCUUGAUGUAACUUCUUUUUGUCCUUAACAGGGUCUUUAAUAUACCAAAAAUUUUAAUUUUGAUGAAGGCCAGUUUUCCAUUCUUUCUUUUGUGGAUGAUACUUUUGCUGUCAUGUCCAAGACACUUUUGCCAAGCCCUAUGACCCAAAUAUUUUUUCCUAGCUUAUCUUGUAAAAGUUUCAAAGUUUUGUUUCAUAUUAAAAUCUCUGAUCCAUUUUUAUUUAAUUUUGGUAUUUGUUAAAGACACUACCCCUUUUCCAUUAUUUUGCUUUUGCAGUUUUGUAAAAAAAAAAAAAAACGUUUUCUGUACUUGUGUGUCUAUUUGUUAUUCUCCAUCUGGUUCAUUGAACUACAUACCCAUCCCUCCACCUAUACCACACUGUCUUAUACUCUGGUUUUAUAUUGUCUUAAUAUCUUUCAACUUUAUUCUGCUGUUUCAAGAUUGUUUUAGCUAUUCUAGUACUUUUGUAUUUCCUUUAUACAUUUUGAAAUAAGCUUGUCCAUAUUGACCCAAAAAAAAAUUCUGUUGGAAACUGACACUUUACUAAGUUAAAUUUUCCCAUCCAUGAAUGUGACAUAUCUCUCCAUUUAUUUAGGUCUUGUUUCCUUUCACCAGUGUUUUACUGGUUUUAUGAUACAGAUCCCAGAUUUCAAAAUUAUUUAUAACCAAACACUUCAUCUUUUAGAACCAUUGUGUGUAGCACUGUGUUUUCAGCUUUGGUUUCCAGUUGUUCAUUGUUAGUAUUUGGAAAUAUUGUUUCUGUGUUGAUCUUGAAUCCUGAGACUUUGAUACAUUAAUUGUCAUUUACUGUUCUCACAGCUUUCAAACUAGAAAGGAAAAAUCUCCAGAAGCAUCUCCCAGGGUGGGCUAUCAUGUCACAGCUGUUGCAGAGUUGGUGGUGCAGAAUGAACCCAGGAUGCCAACCAGCAAAAGAAAUGAAAAGAAAAGAAAGCAGUGAUUGUGGAUGUGAAUGAAGACCAUCCUGGGAGCUGCGGAGUUGCUCUAGGCUCACACAGAAGCUAGGAGGAGAAGGAGAAGCAUUACACAUGGCCAGACAGGAAUGCCCAGUGGGUUCUGACAAUACUACAUGAUCCCAGCAGCAGAAUUGGUCUUGUGAUUUGGCAUUUGAGGCUCUCCUUCUGCAGUGAAGGAGAAUCUUCACUUGGCCAGUGUCACAAACAGACUGUAAGGACAGGAACAAUACCAUGAACAACCUUCCUAUUCAUAUGUUUUCAGGAGCCUCACAACCUAGCAUCACCUUGGGGAUUCAUCUCCCCUUCUUCUGCCAUUUGUGUCUGCCGUCAGAGCAUGUCUUCAAUCCCCAGACACCGUUCAUGCAACACAAGUCACUGAAACAUUAUCUUUAGAAUGAACCAAAACAAAGAACAAUCCAAGGAUGCACUAUGGAAUGAUGGGCAGAAUUUGUCCUGCAGAGCCUGAGAUGGGAUGGGAAAAUGAACCCAUUAGAAAUCCAGCUCGAUUGCAAUACACCUUACUAAGGUGAGCUCUAUGGCCCAGACUUGUACACAAGACAUCUUGGAAGAUAAACCUUCAAUUCAGGAAAAUGGCUCAACAGGUCUCCCCAGGGGGCCUCCCCAGACACAUGCUAUGUGACGGUGACUCUUGCCAGCCUGUCUUGGGUGAGGGUCCCUCCAACUCAUGGGGCCCAACAAGUGGGGACUGCCCAGCUGUCCCACUACCAAUGGAGUCUCCAACACAAAUGCUCUCAAGGAUUGCAGGGCCAGCUUUGGCAUGCCCCUGUCCCCCAUCCGGUCUGUCCUCUGAAGCACCCAACACAUCUUCCUCUGUCUGAGCCUCCUAGGACACCCCUGACCAGGGACAGCCAGUGAAGGACCGAUGAGACAGAGGGGGCAGCCUCACCAUCUGUCUGCAGAUUGGCAAGGAUGAGGGCAGCUGACCAAGGCCCCAGAAGUGGGUCUCCUUCCCCCCAGUGCACAGUGACUGGGACACCAUGACAUCUGCCGUCGGAACAGAGGGGCAGCUCCUGUGGACCCAGGCUGGCUCUGGGUUACUGGGAUUUCCCCAGGACUCCACAGCCUCUCAGGGGCUGACUCUGGCGAGGUAGGAGGAGGACUCUGAAGCCAGACCACAUGGAUCCAGCCCGGGGGCUCCAGCCCUGGGUGCUGGACCUGCACCAGGAUCCAAACCCACCUGAGCUCACUGUCCUCACAGAGCGAUGGGUAAUGUGGGACACCUCCUGAUCUCUUUGGGGAACCCACAAGCUACAGGUGGCACAGCACCUGCUGGAGGAGCAUCAUGACCAGGAGGGGAGACAGGGACCUGCCCGUUUGCGCAGAAUCUGCUUCACCUCCAACCAAUGCCUCCUGAAGUCGCCCCUUGUACACCGUCCCAGCAAACGUCGAGUCUGCUUUGUUUUUCUCUAAUAAACAAGCUUGGCCAUGA